UGGGGAAUCUUGCGCAAUGGUCGAAAGACCGACGCAGCGACGCCGCGUGCGGGAGGAAGCCCUUCGGGGUGUAAACCGCUGUUACUCGGGACGAAUCUCCUGCUUUGGCAGGAUUGACGGUACCGGGGGAGGAAGCACCGGCUAACUCUGUGCCAGCAGCCGCGGUAAUACAGAGGGUGCGAGCGUUGUCCGGAAUCACUGGGCGUAAAGGGCGCGCAGGCGGCUUUUCAAGCGUGCGGUGAAAGCUCGG
rnacentral:rRNA from 1 species